AGUCCCGUGGGGUAGUGGCCAAUCCUGCGAGCUUCUGGGGCUCGCGACCCUGGUUCGAAUCCAGGUGGGACUA
rnacentral:tRNA from 1 species